rnacentral:rRNA from 1 species
UACGAAGGGUGCAAGCGUUACUCGGAAUUACUGGGCGUAAAGGGUGCGUAGGCGGUUUGUCGCGUCUGCCGUGAAAGUCCGGGGCUCAACUCCGGAUCUGCGGUGGGUACGGGCAGACUAGAGUGAUGUAGGGGAGACUGGAAUUCCUGGUGUAGCGGUGAAAUGCGCAGAUAUCAGGAAGAACACCCGUGGCGAAGGCGGCUCUCUGGGACGGUACUGACGCUGAGACGCGAAAGCGUGGGGAGCGAACAGG